rnacentral:tRNA from 1 species
GCGGCCGUGUCGGAACUGGCGAGACGAGCUGGGUUUAGAUCCCAGUGGGUUAAAUCCCGUGUGGGUUCGAGUCCCACCGGCCGCA